AUUGAACGCUGGCGGCAGGCCUAACACAUGCAAGUCGAGCGAGCGGCGGACGGGUGAGUAAUGUAUGGGGACUGCCCGAUAGAGGGGGAUAACUACUGGAAACGGUGGCUAAUACCGCAUACUAUCGGAUAACCCAUAUGGGAUUAGCUAGUAGGUGGGGUAAAGGCUCACCUAGGCGACGAUCUCUAGCUGGUCUGAGAGGAGGAUCAGCAACAUUGGGACUGAGACACGGCCCAGACGCCGACGGAGGCAGCAGUGGGAAAUAUUGCACAAUGGGCGAAAGCCGGAUGCAGCCAGGCCGCUUGGAUGAAGAAGGCCUUAGGGUUGUAAAGUACGUUCAGCGGGGAGGCGUUACCCGCAUAAGAAGCACCGGCUAACUCCGUGCCAGCAGCCGCGGUAAUUC
rnacentral:rRNA from 1 species